rnacentral:pre_miRNA from 1 species
AAUAGGAAAAUGACAAAUUGAAUUUUUUCUCCUGAUUUUUAAUUUUUUCCUCCUCAAAAAUUUCAAAUCCAACUAAAAAUACUAAAAAUCAGGAGAAAAAAAAUCUUAUUUAUCAUUUUUCUAUU